UUAAAAAGCUCGUAGUUGGAUACAGAGUUGGACAGUGCACGGUGGCCCCAUUUGUGUGGCUGGCUCCGGUCAGUUAUACGGUGGCGGAACAACCCCGUGCGCCAAACUGUCCACUCUAACAGACCGAAGCGGUUCCCUGUGAGUAGGCUCCUUAAUUGGGGCUGAAAGCGCCUACGCAUCAACCAUAUGCAUACGGGACGUCGGUCAAAGUUACUGUGAACAAACCAGCGUGUCCAAGGCAGGCUUUCGCCUGAAUGUUCGAGCAUGGAAUAACAAGGGAUCGAUUCUCUCGGUUCUUUUUGUUGGUUUUUAACCCGAGAAGGAGAAAUUCAGGCCGCGGUGUCUGAGUUGGGUUUCCCAGGGCUUCGGCUCUGGCCCCAAUUAGGCCGUGUCCUUACGGGAUCAAUAGGGACUGACGGGGUCGUACCUACUUCUGCGU
rnacentral:rRNA from 1 species